rnacentral:rRNA from 1 species
CACGUAGGCGGACAUUUAAGUCAGGGGUGAAAUCCCAGAGCUCAACUCUGGAACUGCCUUUGGUACUGGGUGUCUUGAGUAUGGAAGAGGUGAGUGGAAUUCCGAGUGUAGAGGUGAAAUUCGUAGAUAUUCGGAGGAACACCAGUGGCGAAGGCGGCUCACUGGUCCAUUACUGACGCUGAGGUGCGAAAGCGUGGGGAGCAAACA